rnacentral:rRNA from 1 species
GACGAACGCUGGCGGCGUGCUUAACACAUGCAAGUCGAACGGAAAGGCCCUGCUUUUGUGGGGUACUCGAGUGGCGAACGGGUGAGUAACACGUGAGUAACCUGCCCUUGACUUUGGGAUAACUUCAGGAAACUGGGGCUAAUACCGGAUAGGAGCUCCUGCUGCAUGGUGGGGGUUGGAAAGUUUCGGCGGUUGGGGAUGGACUCGCGGCUUAUCAGCUUGUUGGUGGGGUAGUGGCUGACCAAGGCUUUGACGGGUAGGCGGCCUGAGAGGGUGACCGGCCACAUUGGGACUGAGAUACGGACCAGACUCCUACGGGAGGCAGCAGUGGGGAAUAUUGCACAAUGGGCGGAAGCCUGAUGCAGCAACGCCGCGUGCGGGAUGACGGCCUUCGGGUUGUAAACCGCUUUCGCCUGUGACGAAGCGUGAGUGACGGUAAUGGGUAAAGAAGCACCGGCUAACUACGUG